rnacentral:pre_miRNA from 1 species
CUUCACAGCCCUUCUAAACAAGUCCUUGAAGGAUGCUUGUUUAGAAGAUCUUUGAACCG